GAAUUUUCUCACAGUCCAACGGUCAAACGGUGAAACUCCAGCUUCCAGUAAUAUCAUCCCGAUUGCGGCAGUGAGAUCGACUCGGUUCUCAUCAAAAGCAACACACGCGAGAAUCCUUCACCAAAAGACUAACUGCCCCAGAGAGACGCGGCGCUGAGCGUGUUCCGGAACACAAAUUUUACUUUCAGGCCUGAAAGUAAAAUUGCUCCAUUGUUCAAUGAGUUCAAUCUAGCUGAGGUGGUGGUUCGUUUUUGACACACAGAGAAGAUAUCUUUAAGAUCGAAACAUGAAAGACUGCAAACUCUGUUUCAUAGUUUACCCUGGAACCGACUUGGCACCGGCCUUGCAGGAACAGUUUUCAUGGAAUCGUUGAUGGAGGCAAGGCUUUGAUCCACCCAAAAAGGGCUGACUGGGCGAAAAGGGGGGCAAGGAAAAAUUGCUUACCCCUGACGGAGAAACAACCAAUAUCUUCAAAAUGGUGAAGGUCAGCGUGGAUGAAAUAGAUGGAGGAACAACCAGGAAGAUCACUCAUAUUGGACUCCAGGGAUACUACGAAGGAGCAUCUGGAACCCAAUCAGAUAUGUUCAUUCCCAACUGGUAUUUUACCAACCUCAACCUUCAGAAAGGUGACCAAGUUCAGCUCUCCGUAAUCACGAAGCCCUUGCCACAGGCCACUCUUCUUGCAUUCAACUCACAAGUUGAAGUUGAAGAGCGAGCUCGCCAGAAAGGCCAUUAAGAAUUUCCUGAGGAAAAUCGUAGUGGUCAGCCAGGAAGAUUCAAUGGUCCUUGAUGUCGGAGGGGUCCAAUUUGAAGUGGUCGAAACUCGUCCUAAGAAAUUCGUCAGGAUUGGCAACUUUGCCGAUGAGCCUCCGUUCGAGCUAAUAGUAAUUCACGUUGACGGAGGAGGUAUUCAGCUGAUAGAGCAAGGUGAUCCCUGAGGACGAGGACAACAAUGAGUCUGAUGAGGUAGAAAUCGAGGAGGAGGAGCAGGCAGAUGACCAGCUGGUCGUCAAUGAGGAGACAGAUGAUGACUUCGUUGCGAAUGAGGAGGAAGAUGUGGUUGAGGAAGAGGAACAGGCAGAUGAUGACUUCGUUACGAAUGAGAUUAAGGAAGAUGUGGUCGAGGAGGAGGAACAGGCAAAUGAUGACUUCGUUGCGAAUGAGGAGGAUGUUUUUGCCAGGGUGGAGGAUUCUGACGCUGAUUCUGACGUGGAUGAAGUUUUGCAGAAGCCAAAGGAAGUGGAAAAGGGAAACCAAGAAACGAGCCUGAAGAAGAAACGAGGAGAUGAAGAGGUCCAGGAACCAGACCUUGAAAUGGUUCGUGAGAAGAGGUUGACGAAGUUCAUGAACUAACAUUGCCAAACAGAAUUUUUCGGAAUUUUUGUCAUUAACUACCCCAUUCGCAAUAACAUAUUUUAUUUAUUAAAUAUCGUCAUGCAGUUCUUAUUUUAUAACUAAUCAAAAGAAAAAACGGAUCACAACUUAAAAAAAUUUUGACAAAUAAUAUACAAAAUGACCAUAAUAUAAAGAACCAAAAUAAUUGUAAAUUUGAAAUGAGAAUUAAUAAACGUUCAUUUGAUUUUUCUU